rnacentral:lncRNA from 1 species
CUACUAUUAACUGGAUUGGUGUUGUCACUGUGGCGGCAGGAGUAAAUGAUAAGAACAAACCAACUAAAACGUUUUGGCUAAUUAAGUAUCUCAACUAUAAAAUCUGAUUACAUAAUAGUUGACAAAUAGACAUCCUCAUUUGUCUUUGAUUAAAUUGAGGGUGACUGCCCCACGGGUGGUUUUAUAGAUAGAUACCCAUGCCGUGAAGCCGAAUCCGAGACCACCGCGUGUCACUCAAUUGCCCUGAUCUUGGUCAUUCAUAUAGGGCUACCAAGAAAAUAAAAAGAAAUUGAAAAUUAAAUUUAAAAAAAGAGAGAGAGAGAGAGAGAGAGAGAGAGAGAAAUCGAUAAUGGCUGAUCA